rnacentral:rRNA from 1 species
GACGGCCUUCGGGUUGUAAACCUCUUUCAGUAGGGAAGAAGCGAAAGUGACGGUACCUGCAGAAGAAGCGCCGGCUAACUACGUGCCAGCAGCCGCGGUAAUACGUAGGGCGCAAGCGUUAUCCGGAAUUAUUGGGCGUAAAGAGCUCGUAGGCGGUUUGUCGCGUCUGCCGUGAAAGUCCGGGGCUCAACUCCGGAUCUGCGGUGGGUACGGGCAGACUAGAGUGAUGUAGGGGAGACUGGAAUUCCUGGUGUAGCGGUGAAAUGCGCAGAUAUCAGGAGGAACACCGAUGGCGAAGGCAGGUCUCUGGGCAUUAACUGACGCUGAGGAGCGAAAGCAUGGGGAGCGAACAGGAUUAGAUACCCUGGUAGUCCAUGCCGUAAACGUUGGGCACUAGGUGUGGGGGACAUUCCACGUUUUCCGCGCCGUAGCUAACGCAUUAAGUGCCCCGCCUGGGGAGUACGGCCGCAAGGCUAAAACUCAAAGGAAUUGACGGGGGCCCGCACAAGCGGCGGAGCAUGCGGAUUAAUUCGAUGCAACGCGAAGAACCUUACCAAGGCUUGACAUGGACCGGACCGCCGCAGAGAUGUGGUUUCCCCUUUGGGGCUGGUUCACAGGUGGUGCAUGGUUGUCGUCAGCUCGUGUCGUGAGAUGUUGGGUUAAGUCCCGCAACGAGCGCAACCCUCGUUCUAUGUUGCCAGCACG